AACCCCUAACCUUCCAUUACCCCUAACCCCCAUAACCCCUAACCCCUAACUGUCCAUAACCCCUAACCUUCCAUAAGCUCUACACCAGGGAUCACCAACUCUGGCCCUCCAAUCAAACUCCAGCCCUGGUUUUCUAUUCUGCUGAUUGGCCUGUCUUCACACUUGACUCCCAGGUAAAGGGAGGGUGGUCACACCUGACUCCCAGGUAAAGGGAGGGUGGUCACACCUGACUCCCAGGUAAAGGGAGAGUGGGAAACCAGCAGGUCUUGGCCCUCGAGGACCGUGAGUUACUGAUCCCUGAUCUACACCCACAGCCCCCCCCCUCCCAAACCUAAGCCCUGCCACGCACUAACCUAUACCACACACUACUACCCACAACCCCCGCACCCCCACCUGUAAACCCCACCUGUAAUCUCUCAUAUUAGCCCGUGACGGCAGAGUCUCGUGAUUAUAGUCUCUUCUUGGUUGUAAGCUUCUGGUCCAGUUCAUUUUUUGCUCUGUAUAUUUUUUUCCCCAAAUCUCCUUGUUGGCUGUUUACAUUUUUUUUAAAAUGUUUUUGUGAACUUCUCACCACUGGUUUGGUGUUGUUUGAGCACAGACAUGUGGAGCGAUCGCUGAAGCUGAACCCAAAGGACCGGAGAGGAUCCUGGGCCAAAACAGAACGGCCACAGGGAUCAUUUCACUCCUUACGCAAGAAAACUGGCAAAAUACUGACUGACCACUGGUGCCGAAGUCCUGCUCCCGCUUUGGGAGAACUCUGUGGACUGUGAGCAGAGCUCGGCCCUGUCGAUCUGAGACAUGAACUUGAUUUGGUGAAACAGCAGGGCUGCUUCUGAAACGUGCUGGACUGGACAGGCAAAGCUUUGACAGACACCGUGGAUGAGACUUUCACGGACUCAUUAGAGCCGGUCCGCUGUCGAGCUGAAGCAGAGCUAUCGUCCAUGAGCUUCAGACACUGGACACUGGACACUGGACACUGGACACUGGACCCUGGACCCUGGACACUGGACCCUGGAGUCCAAAGACAGGUCUGGAACCUGGAUUAGGUGAGCCAGCCUGGUCCCAGGGUCCAUGUCCAUCCAAGUCACACAGAGAGAGCAGCCCUGUGAACACGGCUCACACACAGCGGGGAUACAGGUGUACCUGAUACAGGUGUGAGGGCUGUGUGAGGGUGAAGACAGGUGUACCUGAUACAGGUGUGAGGGUGAAUAUUGGUGUACCUGAUACAGGUGUGAGGGUGAAUAUUGGUGUACCUGAUACAGGUGUGGGGGUGAAUAUUGGUGUACCUGAUACAGGUGUGAGGGUGAAUACUGGUGUAACUGUAGGUACAGGUAGUUUUAUGUUGUGGUUCCUUCAUUUCAAUGUCAAGGACGACCCUGUUGGCUCAAUGACACAUUCUUGCUCUGCCCUUCUGCCUAUGGCUUAUGGGAAAUGUAUGCUCACAAGAAGCCAUUGUGUAGUCCUGGCUCUCUCCCAAGCCCACAGGCACAGUGCAGAUUCUACUCUGUAAAAACCACGAGAGAAACCGAGAAUAUUUAAGCCGCUUCUUUCACUGAUCCCUGUGUGAAUACCCUGCUGUUUUACAGAACAGAUCGUUCCGCAUUAUAGCAGAUUAGACUGCAGUAAUGCAAGUCAUGUACACUGGCAAACGACACAGUGGAGCGCCCAUGUGUCUGUGCUGGCAGAGACAUGGGUCAGGAACAGAGACACAGGACAGGAACAGAGACACACGUCAGGAACAGAGACACAGGACAGAGACACACGACAGGACAGAGACACACGACAGGACAGAGACACACAACAGGAACAGAGACACACGACAGGAACAGAGACACACGACAGGAACAGAGACACGAAUCAUCCAGUGAUGAACAUAAAACUCUCGCAAAGGAAUGGAAAAUGAAAAAUAUGAAAAAUGACAGGAAAAAGGAGACAUUUCAGGUUGCUUGUGCUUUUUUAUUAUUUUAUUUAUUUACUUUGUGCAUUGUAUGCUACGGCAAAAAGCUUUUAUUUUUAUUUUGUACUAUUUGCCCUUUUAGCGCUGACUUGCAAAUUGAAUUCUUUGUACCAGUUCAUUUUUUAAAUCGUUUUGUGUGAGAUAUUUAUCUGUGACAGAUAUGGAUGUGGUUCUGGAAGCUAUUAGAAUGUGUGUGUGUGUGUGUGUGUGUGUGUGAGCGUGUGUGUGUGAGCGUGUGUGUGUGAGCGUGUGUGUGUGAGAGUGUGUGUGUGUGUGUGUGUGUGUGUGUGUGUGUUACUGUAAAUGAGUUCUCUACAGCAGUCUGUGUUCUUCUCUCUUCGACGUUCUGUCCAAACUGCAUGAAAGAAAUCCAGAAGCGGGGAACACAUUUUGAUGUUUUGUAGUUUUAUAUUUGACUUCAGAAGUUUGCUUUGUUUCUUAUGGGCAGUUUGUGUGGCAGUGCGGAGUCUCAUCCCCACAGCCAGAGCAAGCCGCCGAAACACAGAGAUUUAAAUCACUCACAUAAAGGUGUUCUCUCUCCUGGCUGUCGGGGGGAAUGGAUGCUGAGGUAAAUGUUUCCCAGAGGUUUUAAUAACUGCUGCGCAUAUGGGCCACGGGGAGACGGGUGGAGUCUGUUUCCAUGGAAACUGCUGUACAGAAUCGCCCCGAAAUAGUUUUUUUUUGUAUUACGCACCAGGCUGGCAGGGCGUUCUCCAGGCAUUUCUGUAACGUUUGGGGAACGCUCCGCUGGCACGUGUGGCCUUCAGAUUAGUGUUGCUGUGACUUCAGUUCAGCUCUUGUGACUUUUCUUAUUAUUAUUAUUAAGUGUUGUGUUUUUUAUUGUUUUUAAAACUUGCAUUUGUACAGAAUCCGUGCACUGAAUUAAACCUGCAGAAGGCCCA